GCAGUGGGGCAUCCUCGGCUGUUUGUUGGUUGGGGUUAGUGUGUGACUCGGAGUCCUUGUGUUGUCGACGAAGCAACUUGCACGAAUAUAUUGUCGUGAUGAACCGGCUUGCGUGGAAACUUAGGCUUUCAGAUUCGUUUUUGCACUAGCCAUGGUCAAGCUUCGCCCACCUAUCAAAGCUUUUAUUCGCAUUGUUGACUGAUGCAGAAUUCCUUAGCUGAUUGCCUCUCCCCUACCCCGAGCCGAGAUGUUCAAAGGUGUCAAAUCCAUGGGUGCGGGAGCUGCUACAAUU
rnacentral:lncRNA from 1 species